rnacentral:lncRNA from 1 species
CUAUAACAGAGGAGUCAGAAAAGCACAAUUCUCCCAGCCACAAAGUAUUUCUUCCUCUAAGGCAAUAUUUUCCAAUUAUGACUUUCUGUCAUCGUCACUUCUUUCUAAAUCUGCACUGAUCAAGCACUUAACCAUGUUACUUUCUCAUUGAGUUAUUGGAAGAGUUGAGACCUCACACAAGGAGGAUAAUUCUAGAAAGACAUAAGA